GGCGCAAGCCUGAUCCAGCCAUACCGCGUGGGUGAAGAAGGCCUUCGGGUGGUAAAGCCCUUUUGUUGGGAAAGAAAUCCAGCCGGCUAAUACCUGGUUGGGAUGACGGUACCCAAAGAAUAAGCACCGGCUAACUUCGUGCCAGCAGCCGCGGUAAUACGAAGGGUGCAAGCGUUACUCGGAAUUACUGGGCGUAAAGCGUGCGGAGGUGGUCGUUUAAGUCCGUUGUGAAAGCCCUGGGCUCAACCUGGGAACUGCAGUGGAUACUGGACGACUAGAGUGUGGUAGAGGGUAGCGGAAUUCCUGGUGUAGCAGUGAAAUGCGUAGAGAUCAGGAGGAACAUCCAUGGCGAAGGCAGCUACCUGGACCAACACUGACACUGAGGCACGAAAGCGUGGGGAGCAAACAGGAUUAGAUACCCUGGUAGUCCACGCCCUAAACGAUGCGAACUGGAUGUUGGGUGCAAUUUGGCACGCAGUAUCGAAGCUAACGCGUUAAGUUCGCCGCCUGGGGAGUACGGUCGCAAGACUGAAACUCAAAGGAAUUGACGGGGGCCCGCACAAGCGGUGGAGUAUGUGGUUUAAUUCGAUGCAACGCGAAGAACCUUACCUGGCCUUGACAUGUCGAGAACUUUCCAGAGAUGGAUUGGUGCCUUCGGGAACUCGAACACAGGUGCUGCAUGGCUGUCGUCAGCUCGUGUCGUGAGAUG
rnacentral:rRNA from 1 species